GACGAACGCUGGCGGCGUGCUUAACACAUGCAAGUCGAACGGAAAGGCCCUGCUUUUGUGGGGUGCUCGAGUGGCGAACGGGUGAGUAACACGUGAGUAACCUGCCCUUGACUUUGGGAUAACUUCAGGAAACUGGGGCUAAUACCGGAUAGGAGCUCCUGCUGCAUGGUGGGGGUUGGAAAGUUUCGGCGGUUGGGGAUGGACUCGCGGCUUAUCAGCUUGUUGGUGGGGUAGUGGCUUACCAAGGCUUUGACGGGUAGCCGGCCUGAGAGGGUGACCGGCCACAUUGGGACUGAGAUACGGACCAGACUCCUACGGGAGGCAGCAGUGGGGAAUAUUGCACAAUGGGCGGAAGCCUGAUGCAGCAACGCCGCGUGCGGGAUGACGGCCUUCGGGUGGUAAACCGAUGUCGCCUGUGACGAAGCGUGAGUGACGGUAAUGGGUAAAGAAGCACCGGCUAACUACGUG
rnacentral:rRNA from 1 species